AUUAUUAUUUGAAUUUGAAUUUGAAAAAACAAUUUACCAUCCAGAUGCCUUUGCGUACAGCAGUCGUCUCUAUCGACAGAUUGAAACCGGCAUACUUACUUAACGAAGAGGAAAUCACUCCCACUUCCUCAAGCAUGCAGAAUAAGCAACAAGCGUCGCCAUCACGUUUCCCGAGCAUAGUGCCACAACCAGCAGCAGCGGCAAAACCACAGCGUGACACAAUCGUCACUCGUUCCGGCCGCACAGUUAAACCAAACGUUCGCUUCGCUUAGGGGGGAGUGAUGUAGCGACAUGAAACGCAUACAACCUUUUCGACUGGCAACCUUCAAUAGUCAUGAAGAAAAAUACAAUACGUUCAAAUGUCAAAUUCAAAAUUUUAAAUUUUCAAAAGCUGAUUUUCGUUGUC